UACGUAGGCAGCGAGCGUUGUUCGGAAUUACUGGGCGUAAAGAGUGUGUAGGCGGUGCUCUAAGUUCGGUGUGAAAUCUCCUGGCUCAACUGGGAGGGUGCGCCGGAAACUGGAGUGCUUGAGCGUGGGAGAGGAAAGCGGAAUUCCUGGUGUAGCGGUGAAAUGCGUAGAUAUCAGGAGGAACACCUGUGGUGUAGACGGCUUUCUGGACCACGACUGACGCUGAGACACGAAAGCGUGGGUAGCAAACAGG
rnacentral:rRNA from 1 species